AACGAACGCUGGCGGCAUGCCUAACACAUGCAAGUCGAACGAGACCUUCGGUCUAGUGGCGCACGGGUGCGUAACGCGUGGGAAUCUGCCCUUGGGUUCGGAAUAACAGUUAGAAAUGACUGCUAAUACCGGAUAAUGUCUUCGGACCAAAGAUUUAUCGCCCAGGGAUGAGCCCGCGUAGGAUUAGCUAGUUGGUGAGGUAAAGGCUCACCAAGGCGACGAUCCUUAGCUGGUCUGAGAGGAUGAUCAGCCACACUGGGACUGAGACACGGCCCAGACUCCUACGGGAGGCAGCAGUGGGGAAUAUUGGACAAUGGGCGGAAAGCCUGAUCCAGCAAUGCCGCGUGAGUGAUGAAGGCCUUAGGGUUGUAAGACUCUUUUACCCGGGUACGUG
rnacentral:rRNA from 1 species